GCCAAGAUGGCCGAAGUGGAGCAGAAGAAGCGAACCUUCCGCAAGUUCACCUACCGUGGCGUGGACCUCGACCAGCUGCUGGACAUGUCCUAUGAGCAGCUGAUGCAGUUGUACAGCGCCCGGCAGAGACGGCGCCUGAACCCAGGCCUGCGGAGAAAGCAGCAUUCACUGCUCAAGCGCUUGAAGAAGGCCAAGAAGGAGGCGCCACCCAUGGAGAAGCCGGAGGUGGUGAAGACCCACCUUAGGGACAUGAUCAUUCUGCCCGAGAUGGUCGGCAGCAUGAUGGGUGUGUACAACCGCAAGACCUUCAACCAGGUGGAGAUCAAACCCGAGAUGAUCGGCCACUACCUGGGCGAGUUCUCCAUCACCUACAAGCCUGUGAAGCACGGCCUGCCCGGCAUUGGCGCCACCCACUCCUCCCGAUUUAUCCCCCUCAAGUAGUGGGGACAAUAAAGACUCGUUUUCAGCCCUG
rnacentral:lncRNA from 1 species